rnacentral:lncRNA from 1 species
UCAAUCCCGUACCAUUCAGCGCACCCCCUGGGGUCUCAGGCUCCGUGGCUGCUUCUCACCCUGGAAGUUCAUCCCGAAGGCCGGACCGCGCGUCACCUCUCUGUCUCUGUGUGCUCCGAAGGGCUUCGCCUCUACUGUUUUAAUAUCUGUCGUCGGAGGGCAGCUCGGGUCUGGCAGAGUGAGUGCUCUGAAGUUCUGUGAAACCUUGAUUGCAGGUAACUUGCUCCACGAGUGUCCCACUGGAUGAGUAAACAUUUCCAGUAAGUUUUAACUUGAUAAACAGGUGAUGUCUUGAGCGAUAUCUUCUCCCUGAGUGCUGCACCGCAGCAAAGAGCAGUGGGCUUAUGGGCCCGCCUGUUCUGUGUUCGGGGUCGACAUUCUUAGACGCCAACCUGUGAUGUUAGAAAUCAGCCUGUCUGUCGUUAGGUGGUUAGGCCGCAGCUGACUGGAAGGGCGAACGGAGGCACUAUCUGCAGGCCCGGCCGAGUUAGGGGCUGGGAACCAGGGCCGGCAGGUGGGGAGGAGCCUG